rnacentral:rRNA from 1 species
AUUUACUGGGCGUAAAGGGCGCGUAGGCGGUCUUGUAAGUCUUCUGUAAAAUCUCCCGGCUCAACUGGGAGGAUGUAGAGGAUACUAUUGGACUUGAGGACAGCAGGGGGAGGAGGAAUUCCCGGUGGAGCGGUGAUAUGCGUAGGUAUCGGGAAGAACACCAGUGGCGAAGGCGACCUCCUGGGCUGUUCCUGACGCUGAGGCGCGAAAGCGUGGGGAGCAAACAGGAUUAGAUACCCUGGUAGUCCACGCUGCAAACGAUGGACACUAGGUAUGGGGAGUAUCGACCCUCUCCGUGCCGAAGCUAACACAUUAAGUGUCCCGCCUGGGGAUUACGGCCGCAAGGCUAAAAUUCAAAGGAAUUGACGGGGGCUCGCACAAGCAGCGGAGCGUGUGGUUUAAUUCGAUAAUACGCGAAGAACCUUACCAGGGCUUGACAUGCUAGUAGUAGGAACCCGAAAGGGGGACGAUCCGUCUUUGGCGGAAGCUAGCACAGGUGCUGCAUGGCUGUCGUCAGCUCGUGUCGUGAGGUGUUGGGUUAAGUCCCGCAACGAGCGUAACCCUUGCUCUGUGUUGCUCUCUCACAGGGGACUGCCCCGCAAAACGGGGAGGAAGGUGGGGAUAACGUCAAGUCAGCAUGGCCCUUAAGCCCUGGGCAACACACACGCUACAAUGGUUGGUACAAAGGGAAGCGAAGGAGCGAUCUGAAGCUAAUCUCGUAAAACCAAUCCCAGUCCGGAUUGGAGGCUGAAAUUUGCCUCCAUGAAGCUGGAGCUGC